CUAAAAACUCCUAUAGAGAGAUUUGUAAUUUGUUCGACAUGUCGGAGUCAACAUUUUUUCGACACACGGAAUCUAUCCUAGAUUUCUUCCAUGAAAUAUCUAAGGAAUACAUUAAAAUGCCCAUGACUGAUGCAGAAAAAGCGAACGUCGCGAACGAAUUCGAAAAGCUCGCCGGAUUUAAAAACGUUAUCGGUUGCAUCGAUGGAAGUUAUAUUAAUGUUCGAAAGCCAGCAAACAAAAUUCGCUCCACAUAUAUCAAUAGGCAUGAAUUGGUAUCUCUAACAAAGCAGGGUGUAUGUGAUGCCGAUAAAAGGUUCCUUGACGUCUUUUUGGGCCCACCUAGCAAAAUUCAUGAUUCGAGAAUUUUUAGCAUGUCCCCGAUAAGCCAAAAAUUGCCAACGAUAUGCCAACAAAGUUAUCAUAUCCUAGGAGACGCAGCUUAUCCUAUUCGUGAGCAUCUAUUAACUCCUUUUAGGGAUUAUGGUAACCUGUCAAAUAGGCAAAAAAAGUAUAACAAACGUCAUUGUCAAACACGAGUUAAAAUAGAAAAUUGUUUUCAAUUAUUGAAACAACGUUUUAGACAACUUAUGCGUCUAGAUUUUUUUACUGUUAAAAAAAAAUGUGUAAAUUUAUAAUGGCAUGUUGUGUUCUACAUAACAUAUGCAUCGAUCAAAACGACUUAUUUUUAACAAUCAACGAAGAAAACAAUGAAGACGUAGAUGAUUCUCAAGACAACGUAAGAAUAAAUAAUUAUCAAGAAUGUAAUACAAGAGACAAUCUUUUUAAAAGGCUAAGAGAGAUGAAAAGAAACACUAUUGUAAACACUUUUACAUAAAUGACGAAAAUAAAAAGCUAAAUAGUUGAAUAAGAGAAAA